rnacentral:rRNA from 1 species
ACUACGGGAGGCAGCAGUGAGGAAUAUUGGUCAAUGGGCGCGAGCCUGAACCAGCCAAGUAGCGUGAAGGAUGACUGCCCUACGGGUUGUAAACUUCUUUUAUAAAGGAAUAAAGUGAGGCACGUGUGCCUUUUUGUAUGUACUUUAUGAAUAAGGAUCGGCUACCUCCGUGCCAGCAGCCGCGGUAAUACGGAGGAUCCGAGCGUUAUCCGGAUUUAGUGGGUUUAAAGGGAGCGUAGAUGGGUUGUUAAGUCAGUUGUGAAAUUUUGCGGCUCAACCGUAAAAUUGCAAUUGAUACUGGCAGUCUUGAGUACAGUUGAGGUAGGCGGAAUUCGUGGUGUAGUGGUGAAAUGCUUAGAUAGCACGAAGAACUCCGAUUGCGAAGGCAGCUUACUAAACUGCCACUGACAUUGAUGCUCGAAAGUGUGGGUAUCAAACAGGAUUAGAUACCCUUGUAGUC